CCAAUCUCGAUACGAGGAGGUAGUGACAAGAAAUAACAAUCCAGGGCUCUCUGAGUCUUGGAAUUGGAAUGAGAACAAUUUAAAUCCCUUAACGAGGAACAAUUGGAGGGCAAGUCUGGUGCCAGCAGCCGCGGUAAUUCCAGCUCCAAUAGCGUAUAUUAAAGUUGUUGCAGUUAAAAAGCUCGUAGUCGAAUUUUGGGCUUGGCUGAAGGGUCUGCCUCACGGUAUGUACUCUUCUGGCCGGGCCUUUCCUUCUGGCGAGCCACGGUGCACUUAACUGUGUGCCGUGGGGAACCAGGACUUUUACUUUGAAAAAAUUAGAGUGUUUAAAGCAAGCCUACGCUUGAAUACUACAGCAUGGAAUAAUAGAAUAGGACCCUGGUUCUAUUUUGUUGGUUUCUGGAACCGGAGUAAUGAUUAAUAGGGAUAGUUGGGGGCAUUAGUAUUUAAUUGUCAGAGGUGAAAUUCUUGGAUUUAUGAAAGACUAACUUCUGCGAAAGCAUUUGCCAAGGAUGUUUUCAUUGAUCAAGAACGAAAGUUAGGGGAUCGAAGACGAUCAGAUACCGUCGUAGUCUUAACCAUAAACUAUGCCAGCUCCGGAUCGGUCGGUGUUACUUUAUGACCCGAUCGGCACGGUGUGAGAAAUCAAAGCUUUUGGGUUCUGGGGGGAGUAUGGUCGCAAGGCUGAAANNNNNNNNNNNNNNNNNNNNNNNNNNNNGCGCUGCCUUAGCCGCAGUUAACUCUGCGCCUGAAAGCGGUCCGAAAGGACUGGUGGUUUGCUCUUGAUUGAUGGCUCGCUAGUCUCAAAGUUGCUAUCGCUAGCAAUUCAAGGCAACAUCGUCCAAUUGCGGGAACACCCUAAAGCUCCAGCUACCAAGCUCCCGCCGGGAAACCGUCGGGGUGGCCGGGUUAACGACCCCGGGUAUGGUAACAACGCUGGAGAUGCUACAAUGGGCCACCUGCAGCCAAGCUCUAACUUCUUCAGCGCCUGCAAGGGCUGUUUGAAGGACAUGGGCGCAGUUCAGAGGCCAAAUGGCGAUGGGUCGCUGUUGAACGGCGGCUUAAGAUAUGGUCCAACCUGUGCGGGAAACCCACAGCUCUGGUCUUCUAACAGACUCCAAAAGGGAGCCUGCGGCUUAAUUUGACUCAACACGGGGAAACUCACCAGGUCCAGACAUAGUAAGGAUUGACAGAUUGAGAGCUCUUUCUUGAUUCUAUGGGUGGUGGUGCAUGGCCGUUCUUAGUUGGUGGAGUGAUUUGUCUGGUUAAUUCCGUUAACGAACGAGACCUUAACCUGCUAAAUAGUCACACGAACUUCUCGUUCGUGGCUGUACUUCUUAGAGGGACUAUGGAUGUUCAAUCCAUGGAAGUUUGAGGCAAUAACAGGUUAACCUUCGUGUAACAACGAUCACAGGCCUGUAAAAGCGGAGCCGUUGAAUAUCGCUAGUCCAAUGCCGCGUCUCUGUUGGGGAAGUCCCCUUCUGUCGGGCAGAGAGGGCGAGCCGGAUUAAACCCGGCGCGCCUAGGCAUGGGCAACACAACCUGGUACAGGGAACGCCGAGAGCGUCUGCUCUUAAACCGAGUAAGGCUUGGGCCGAUCCUGUGGCGAGCCUUGGUAACGCGAGGCCGUCGCAACGCGCGGAAAGGUGUGGGUUACCGCUGCUUUGAUAGGGCGGUAGCUUGAGGUACGUGCUAAUCCCCCGGGCUAACCGGGCGCCUGCAAUAAGACCCGACAGGUCAAGGUGCAGGCGGGGCGCUCUCUAAGAGAGCCGCCUGGCUUAUUCUUGAUAGGCACAGCGCUCUUGAGGCGUGGUUGCCGGCAAGGAUAGGAAUUGCUGUGAUGCCCUUAGAUGUUNUGGGCCGCACGCGCGCUACACUGAUGAAGUCAGCGAGUUUAUAACCUUGGCCGGAAGGUCUGGGUAAUCUUCUGAAACUUCAUCGUGCUGGGGAUAGAGCAUUGCAAUUAUUGCUCUUCAACGAGGAAUGCCUAGUAAGCGUGAGUCAUCAGCUCGCGUUGAUUACGUCCCUGCCCUUUGUACACACCGCCCGUCGCUACUACCGAUUGAAUGGCUUAGUGAGGCCUUCGGACUUGGAGGAUUGC
rnacentral:rRNA from 1 species